UAGGGAAUCUUUCCACAAUGGGCGCAAGCCUGAUGGAGCAACACCGCGUGAGUGAAGAAGGGUUUCGGCUCGUAAAGCUCUGUUGUUAAAGAAGAACACGUAUGAGAGUAACUGUUCAUACGUUGACGGUAUUUAACCAGAAAGUCACGGCUAACUACGUGCCAG
rnacentral:rRNA from 1 species